CAGUCGCCGCGGGAACACGUAGGGUGCAAGCGUUGUCCGGAAUCAUUGGGCGUAAAGCGCGCGUAGGUGGCCAUUUAAGUCCGCUGUGAAAGUCAAAGGCUCAACCUUUGAAAGCCGGUGGAUACUGGAUGGCUAGAGUACGGAAGAGGCGAGUGGAAUUCCUGGUGUAGCGGUGGAAUGCGCAGAUAUCAGGAGGAACACCAAUAGCGAAGGCAGCUCGCUGGGACGUUACUGACACUGAGGCGCGAAAGCGUGGGGAGCGAACGGGAUUAGAUACCCGGGUAGUCCCUGUCUCUUAUAA
rnacentral:rRNA from 1 species